rnacentral:snoRNA from 1 species
AUAUAUCGAAUGAUGAGUACAUAGUUCAACUGAAUCGCAUUGAUGAUACACGAGAAAUUAGUCUUUCGCCCCUAUCUGAUUAUUUUU